rnacentral:lncRNA from 1 species
CUACAACUUCUGCAGGUAAAGCUUCUGAAACCACAAAUCUUGUCCUCUUCAUAUCAUUAAAUAAUAACUUGAAUUAACAGCUAUCAAGUAUUACAAUUUAAAUUGGCUGAAAUAAAAUUAAAAUAAUUGAUAUUUUGUUCUGAUAAAUAGCAGAAGUGCCAACAGAAAAUUGCCUUAAUCUGUUGAGAAAAAAAACAAAAAAUUUCUCUCUAGACCUACAGGUAUUUUUCCAAUUUCGGGUUGUAAAGUUGUGUCACAGUAACAAGAUCAUUUUUUGGCAUGACAUAGCCUGCUGAAGCUGAGUUCAACACACAUUUAUUAUUUGAGGAGGUCUUGUUAACCUUUUCACUGACAGCAGGCAAUUUAAAGCGGAGAUGUUUGUCUUUUGGAGCCUUUAUCUAGUUAAUAUAUCACAAGGUCAACAUUUGUUAAAAAUUUAGUUAAUAUACAAAUGUAUAUAAGAAAAAUGAGAUGUAAUAUAUAUGAUGCCAAUGAAACAACUAACCACCAAAGUUUAGAAAAAGUGAAUGUAAGCACCUUAUUGCCUUCAACAAUGAGAAAAUCCCAUACCCUGUAGUUAGCUAUAAGAGAUUAUGAUAUGAAAACUAAAGGCUUCAUUUAUAACAAAACAAUUUAUGAAAAACAAAUUAUACAGAGGGCAACUAAUGUAAUGUCAACUACUGAACUGCAGGCUCCUGACUUGGGGAAAGGCACAUAAAGAAUUAUUAAUAAGCACUCAACCCUCUCCCUAACCUGGGGGAAGGUUGAGUGCACCCUUAUACAUAUUCGUUGGCCUUAUCUAUUGAUCACUUUAUAUAUUUAUUCAGCUGAAGAAGAAAUGGAAGAUGAUGAUGAUGAUGAAGGUCCUAUGGUAUCCAUAGGUGGUGCUUAAGUUUCCAUACAUGACGUAACAGAUGAUAUGGUUGCUAAAAUGACACCCCAGGAGAAGGAGGAGUAUAUCAGACUUGGACAAGAAAUGUAUCAAGACAUGUAUGAAUAAUGUUGACAAAUAAAGUUCAAUAUUUUCAGGAAACAUUCCCAGCAGUUUUGACUCAUUCCACAUGUGUUCAGUUGCAAAAUACAUAGCUA